AUUGAACGCUGGCGGCAUGCCUUACACAUGCAAGUCGAACGGCAGCACGGGUGCUUGCACCUGGUGGCGAGUGGCGAACGGGUGAGUAAUACAUCGGAACGUACCUUGUCGUGGGGGAUAACGCAGCGAAAGCUGUGCUAAUACCGCAUACGCCCUGAGGGGGAAAGCGGGGGAUCGAAAGACCUCGCGCGAUUAGAGCGGCCGCUGCCUGAUUAGCUUGUUGGUGGGGUAAAAGCCCACCAAGGCGACGAUCAGUAGCUGGUCUGAGAGGACGAUCAGCCACACUGGGACGGAGACACGGCCCCGACUCCUACGGGAGGCAGCAGUGGGGAAUUUUGGACAAUGGGGGAAACCCUGAUCCAGCAAUGCCGCGUGAGUGAAGAAGGCCUUCGGGUUGUAACGCUCUUUUGUCAGGGAAGAAACACCGGCUCUAACACAGUCCGGGAAUGACGGUACCUGAAGAAUAAGCACCGGCUAACUACGUGCCAGCCGCCGCAGUAA
rnacentral:rRNA from 1 species